AGGUAAAAAGCGAACUAUUGCACUCAGUUUCGACCUGAUUUUUGGUGUUAAACCACCUUUACCUA
rnacentral:tRNA from 1 species